CUCAGGGAGCUCUAGUGGAGAGACAAGAUUCGUGCAUGAAAUAAUUACGACUGUUGUAGAAAAAAGAAAAGCCUGUAGGUCUCCCUUCCUCCCUCCUUCUCUCUGUCUACCUCAGCAUUUCUGGGGUUCACUCUGCUCUGGGUACUGUGUAAAGGACUCCACAGCCAUCAACUUCCCUUCAUCCUUGCCGUGUCUUUGAAAGAGCUGAGAUUUCUUUACAUCACAGUGGUUCAAGGAGAAAAACACAGCCAGAUCCUUCCUCAUCUCAACAUAAAUUAAACCCAGAGGCAGUCAGCGCCACAGUCCACACUCGUAACCGUUACACUCACCUGGAAAUAAAAGUAUUUUUGUGCGGGGACUGCAAGGACUAAGCCCGGCCGCACUCCGAGUUUCUCCUCCUCACAG
rnacentral:lncRNA from 1 species